rnacentral:rRNA from 1 species
UACAGAGGUCCCAAGCGUUGUUCGGAUUCAUUGGGCGUAAAGGGUGCGUAGGUGGCGCGCUAAGUCAGGUGUGAAAUUUCGGAGCUUAACUCCGAAACUGCAUUUGAUACUGGCGUGCUUGAGGACUGGAGAGGAGACUGGAAUUCACGGUGUAGCAGUGAAAUGCGUAGAUAUCGUGAGGAAGACCAGUGGCGAAGGCGGGUCUCUGGACAGUUCCUGACGCUGAGGCACGAAGGUCAGGGGAGCAAACGGG